GAGCAUUCAAUUAUAAUCUUAAACAUCAAUUGCUAAAGUUAUACUAAUUUUAAUAUUUUUCAACUAUUAAUUGCGAGGAGAUAACAUCAUAUUAAACAGCACAGUAUACUACAGUAUGGUAUAGUUGAUGGUCUGCCACUUGCCAAUUCUGCUGACCAACUCUAUUACGCAUGAGCCAGCGUGCUCAAUAAGUCGUUGAGCGCGCCAAAUCAUGGAAAUAUAGCCUUAAUUAUUAGCACAGGGACUGUUCAUUAAUAAUUAUAGCUGGGUGGUACCGAAGAGAAA